rnacentral:miRNA from 1 species
UAAAGUUGUUUUCCUGAAUAGGAAAGUGAAAAUUUCCUAUUUAGGCAAACAACUUUAAA